UGGGGAAAAGCUGAUUACCUAUUAGAGAGGGCGCGAAGGAACUGGAGAGAGGCGAAAGAAAUUCAGUCGAGUCAGGGAAGGAUCCCUGAUACUGACGUGGAAGUGGGGCCCAAAAGGGGUGGAGGAGAUUGGAGGGAAGAGUCAAAACCCUCCAGUCUUCGGGUAGGGAAAAGACUGAAGAAUUAAGACCCCAGAGAACGAGGCUGAAACAGGAAUCACUUGGCUACUCUCGAAGAGGAUAGUUUCAGUAAGGGGGCUUCCCCAUCAUUUCUGGCCACAGAUUUAGGAAAUGAAUACAUGAAAACAGGAAUGAUGGGAGGAAGUGCAAAUGUCUCCUGUCCUAAGAGGAGAAUCGGUUUAGUUUUGCCAGACACAGAGGUUUCGGUAACUACAGCCAGCCCUGGGCAUAGAAGUUAGGAAACAGAGCCAGGUUUAGCAUCCCAAAGGGAUGUGCAGCUCUGUGCAGUAGGAUGACCUGACUCCCUGUGUCCUGUUCCCCUGGACUUGCAAGGCGGGGUUGAUCUGUGACACAGAGACUACUAUGGACAAAUCUGGGUGAAGAGAGAAAGUUGCUGGCCAGGCAGACCUAGAGAAAUGAGCUCAAGGCUUAGACAAGAUAAGGUGACUUUCAUGGGGAGUUCCCCAAAGGGAUUUCAAGGAUCCCUGAUUUACAGCUGUGAGAUACAACCUAGGCUGCAAUCACACUACACUUUAGUUAGUGGUAUUGAAGAGUUGUGGCCAAAAAGGUCGUUUCACUCUGCAUCCCAUCUAGUGAGUGAUGAGCUUCUGAAGUUGGCUAUCCUGGUCCUAGAACAGACAACAUACAAUCUGUCAUCUGACCUAGAGGAAUUGAGAGACUGGUGUCUGACAAAGGAAAACAGGGUUGGGAGGAGAGAGGAGAUAUGGCUUGGAGUAACUACUGUCCCUUGCAAAUGAUGAACAGAAGUGCCAGAUUGAGGGAGAUCCUCAUGGUGGCCAGCUCGAACAUAAAGACACCCAUGAUGAGCGUGCCGGUGCUCAACACCAAGAAGGCCCUGAAGAAGGUCAAGAGCCUGAAGAAGAAGCUGACCAGAGUGUGCUUGGGCGAGGUACUGCAGAAAGUUGAUGUCCAAGAGUCCUUCUGCAUGGAAGAAAAGAGAAGCAAAUACCGGGUCUACUGCAUUCGCUUUAAUUUCCUCCCCUACAAGUAUUACCAGCAGGAGAAGUACUUGCGACCUACAGACAUUCUGCAUUUUGUAGAAACAAGGGACAAACAGACCCCUCAGUGGAUUUCAGUGUAAAAGCUCCGAUCCUGAUUCAAGUGGAAAAGCCUCUGAUCCUGAUCCAGUGGAAAAGACUUCAACCCAGAAAUUAGGAAAAGCAAUCAGGAUUACAGUUGGGAAGAAUACAGGCCUUUUAAGACAACAAGACAAUAUCCAAUGCAAACGACUCCAAUGUAAUUACCAGAUGAUGAGGAGAAAUCCCAAAUUUGGUAAAUAGAAGGGAAUUAGAUUAACUGCUUGGGGAAGAGGAUCUGCUUAUAUUUCCACAGAUGGAGAAAGAAUCAGAUGGCUGACUAUGAAACUGUUAAAAAGACUUUUAAAAGCUUCAGGAAUCAUUGGAUUUCCUAACACAAGAUGAAACUGUUUUACUUCUUGAAAAACCAGCAAGAAUCAUUGGGUUCCCUGAGAUGAGAAAUUGUUGAUGAGACUUUUGCAGUACUUCAGGGCUUACAGGAACUAUUGGAUUCCUGGCACAUGAACUAAUGGACAAUGGAAUCCUAUUGGACUGUUUCUAGGACUUAUGGACAUGUGUAAAUUUUUAGGUUGAUUCAUGUUGUUACAUUACUACUAGCCUGUGUUAUAUUGCUAUGUACUUAUGUAAAUUAUGUAUAAUGCCUCCCAUAUUGAUGGAUUUAUGUAUACCAUGUAUAUCUGUUACAAAGUUCUGGCCCAUAUUGAUGGAUUUAUGUGUACCCCCUCAGAAACCCCCUAUGUUUUAAAACAAAAGAAAGGGGGAGAUGUUGGAAUCCUUACUAACUGCUAAGUAAUUAGAGUUGAUCUAAUCUUACAAGAAGAUGUUUUGGGCAGAACCUGAAACAAGGUACUAAGUAGAACUACCCAUAAUCCCUCUCUCUGGAAGGAGCAUAAAUAGGCCAAUGGGCCAGUCGGAGAGGUCUUCAGAGGAAGACGCUACAAGUCGAGAUUUCACUGGAAUGACAUGAAGACUGGAGCUGGCUGGAGGCUGAAGAAAGCAGAGGUAGAGGCUGAAGGACCAGACCUUUGGAUUUAAAGACAUUUGGAGAGAGCUCUUGGAACCAAGUAGAGAGAUAGGCCUCUAAGCUAACCGGGCUAUAUUGGAGAUAAUAAAAGAUCUGAACUUUUAUCACCUGGCUGUGUUUUGAGAAGAAAAAGCUCACCACAAUAACCCUAUGUAAUAAACUGAGGCACUUCCAAUAAAGAUCUGUAUCUUUUUAGAGAUUUACCUAAAGCAUGGAGAAGUUAAUGACAAAUUUGUAUCAGAGGUGAGACUUGAAUCCAAGUCUUUUUGGUCUGGGGUCAGGGCUCUUGCAACCAUGACAUAUUGUUGUUCAUGAUGUAGUUGCAAUAGGCACUAACCCAUUUAACAAAUGAAGAAACUGAGAUUUUAGAGUUUAAGGAUCACAUAAUUGUUAACUGUUAGAUAUGAGGUUCAAAGUCAGGUCACUCUUGUUUUUAAGUCCAGAAACUUAGGACAGAAACAAUUGUGUAGAUAAUGCAAAAUAUAGAGAAUUGAAAAACAAACCUUUUUUCUCUCUGGGAUCUUAUGUUGUUUAUUUGUACUUUAAAUAUGAGUGGUAUUUGAUGUCUUGGGAAUUCACAAGAAUUCAAAUGAAUAAGGCAGCCAUUCUAUGAAGCUGAUGACCUAUGAGAAGUUGGCAACCUUUGCAAUUACCCAAUGUGCCCCUUGUUACACUCCUGUCCAUGUUCUGUGCUAUCCAGAGAAUGAAAAUGUUCUCACAAUAAUUCGAGAUUGACCCAAAUUUGCUUGCUGUCAUAUCUUCCUUGUCUGGCAAGAAAAUGAUUAAUGUAAAUGUUUUGGUUUAAAAGAAGGAAAUCCCAGUUAUUCUUAUAUCCCCACUCCUGAUGAGCUUCAGACUAAAAUUCCAUGCUGAUCUUUGUAAACACAGUUAUUACUAAUGUGUUAUUUAAACAAUUUUCAAAGAAGUCAUCCACAAAGGAGUUCCUUAAAUCAAGGAGGUGAUGUUGUUCCCAAAAAGUUAUUAUCAAGGGAGUUACUUAAAGCCAUGGAGGAGAUGUCAAGUGGAAUUUUUUACCAAAGGAGUUAAUUAAUCAGAAAAGAAAAUGAUAAUCAAAGAGAUUGGAAGCAAUAAUCACGAUGGAAUAAAUCUCUUAGAAAUAACUGAAUUGACUAUUACUGGCCUACAGAGAAGUAUAUGGCAGAAGAGAUGUAAUAUAUAAGACUAGGGCCAUCAAAAGAGAAUUUAGAAGUCACAAGUUACCUUUCUGGUCCUUAUAUGAUUUCAUGAAACUCUGACCUGAAAUGCUUUUAUCCACCAUACCCAGUGAGGUAAAGAAUGUGAGGAUGAGGUGGUGAAGAUGGAGAGAUAUCUGUUGAUUCUUUGCUUGGGGAGAAAUUUAAUUCUUAUUAAUUGCUUGCUGUGUGCAAGACACUGGAUAACAAAUACUCUUUCUGCUUUUAGAUGGUAAACAAAUAAGGCAGCUGUAAUUGAACAUUGAAUUCAGAAUAAAAGGACCUGGGUUAAAAA